GACGAAGGAUCCAAGCGUUAUCCGGAUUCAUUGGGUUUAAAGGGUGCGUAGGCGGAUUUGUAAGUCAGUGGUGAAAGCCGAUAGCUCAACUAUCGAACUGCCAUUGAUACUGCAGAUCUAGAAUAUAGAUGAUGUUGGCGGAAUAUGACAUGUAGCGGUGAAAUGCAUAGAUAUGACAUAGAACACCAAUUGCGAAGGCAGCUUACUACACAAAUAUUGACGCUGAGGCACGAAAGCGUGGGGAUCAAACAGG
rnacentral:rRNA from 1 species